UACGUAGGGUGCAAGCGUUAAUCGGAAUUACUGGGCGUAAAGCGUGUGUAGGUGGUUUGCUAAGUCAGGUGUGAAAUCCCUGGGCUCAACCUAGGAAUUGCAUUUGAUACUGGCAGACUAGAGUGCGGUAGAGGAUGGUGGAAUUCCCGGUGUAGCGGUGAAAUGCGUAGAUAUCGGGAGGAACAUCAGUGGCGAAGGCGGCCAUCUGGACUGACACUGACACUGAGACACGAAAGCGUGGGGAGCAAACAGG
rnacentral:rRNA from 1 species